rnacentral:rRNA from 1 species
GAUGAACGCUGGCGGCGUGCCUAAUACAUGCAAGUCGAGCGAACAGACGAGGAGCUUGCUCCUCUGACGUUAGCGGCGGACGGGUGAGUAACACGUGGAUAACCUACCUAUAAGACUGGGAUAACUUCGGGAAACCGGAGCUAAUACCGGAUAAUAUAUUGAACCGCAUGGUUCAAUAGUGAAAGACGGUUUUGCUGUCACUUAUAGAUGGAUCCGCGCCGCAUUAGCUAGUUGGUAAGGUAACGGCUUACCAAGGCAACGAUGCGUAGCCGACCUGAGAGGGUGAUCGGCCACACUGGAACUGAGACACGGUCCAGACUCCUACGGGAGGCAGCAGUAGGGAAUCUUCCGCAAUGGGCGAAAGCCUGACGGAGCAACGCCGCGUGAGUGAUGAAGGUCUUAGGAUCGUAAAACUCUGUUAGUAGGGAAGAACAAAUGUGUAAGUAACUAUGCACGUCUUGACGGUACCUAAUCAGAAAGCCACGGCUAACUACGUG